rnacentral:ncRNA from 2 species
UCCCUCGGGAGGCCUCCCUCCUUCCACCCGCUUGAGGAGAGCCCUUCUCUUCCCUGUGACCCCGAAGACCGUGGCGCCGCCGCCUACGUGAGGCGUUUGGACCCUGCCCGGCCCCCGUAGCUCCCCUUCUCCAGCAGGUUUUGAAGCCGCUUCUCUGCCCGAGUUAGGUUUCGCCCAGCGCAAUUUCUUUCUCUAUGUACUUUGCGAAUAAGUUUCGGAGCAUCGGUUAACAGCCUAUGGGUGAAAUUUGGCUUUCAUUCAUGAAUGAG